CAGUGUUUAGUCAGAGGAGCUUCUCCUCGACCUAAAGUGGAGUGGAGGGACAGUUCUGGAAACAUCCUUCAUGCUAAAGAAGCACAGGUCACAGAAAGAGGAGGCAGCUACGACAUCAUCCUCCAAACCACUGUGACCAAGACCGACCACUACAGCUGUGUGGUCACACAGGACCAGAUCAAACACCACACUGAGGCAGAGACCUACGUUCACAUCAACGUUUCAGGUUUCUCUGCUGGAUCGAUUGUUGCUGCUGUCGUCAUCACUCUUAUUGUUGUUGUCAUCGUCCUUGCUGUGCUCUUUGCCACAGGUCGCAUCAGUUGUCGUAAAGACGAGGAGAAAGGUGAACCCAUAAAAGACCGCACUGAAUCCGACCUUCUAGCUGAAUGAAGUCAGGUAGACUCACGUCGUGUUCCUUCAAACCUCUGACUCUGGAACUCCAAAGUUAUUGAAGCUAAUCUGCCUUAAUCCCAACAUGAAGAUGAUUUCAUCUGUUUGACCAUCAUGAUGUCAUACUUGAAAACAGCUGAGUGAGG